GUAGCGGUGGGAGAAAAAUAAUAACCUACACUCGGGUUCCGUCGUUAUAUGAAUGAAACCAGAGAAUAAUACCCAAAGUGGUAGUGGCAACAUGCUGUUAUGAAUGGAGACGGUUAUGAAUGAAAAUACGGUUGGUAGUUGGUACCGGUAAGGUUACAGUUGUAUUAAGGAACUUUGACACUGCCAUGCCUGAUGAUGUUUAAAAGUUAACCAGUAAUAUAUUACACAUAAUGACUGCCAGAAAGAACUCAUCAUCAAUGAUUAAAAGAACGGAAUUUUUUUUACCAGAGAUAUUUCCAAAUAUUUUUGAAUAUUAUAUAAUGAAAAAUUGCAAUAUUAUAUUUUUCACUCUAUUUCCUAAAACAUCGGUCAUCUUUUUAAAUAUAGUAGCACUAUUAAACGACACACGAGGAAUUUCAACCACCAAAUAUUUUUCUUCGUUUUACACAUAAAAUACUAAAAUAUUCACCAAGAAUUCUAGAGAAAUUGUACGUAGUCAAAUGAAUACUUGUAAAAUGGUGAAUUUUAAUUAAUAAAAGUUUUAUUGUGUUUAUUUAUCAUCAUUAAUCACGGCCAAUAUGAAGUAAGAUCCAAUGCAAAUAUAAAAGAUUUUCUUAGACACUUCUUAAGUCUUUUAGUUGGAAAAUAAGAAAAUACUUAUAUUCUGGUUAUGCCAUUAAUUUGACUAAUGAGUUUUCAAGAAAUUCUAAAAAUUACAUUAACUUAUUAUUUUUUUAA